UUAAAUGUUGCUCUUACCCUCAUUUUGUGUCUCUUGUAGGUAUUUUUGGCUGGAGAAUUAAUCCGCAUUUAUUUUGUUGGCAAGUUAGCCUUUUUUCUUUGGCCCAGUUUAAGCACAAAAUCAUCUCUGUUGUUUUCUGGAGCAGGUAUUUUUGGCUGGAGAAUUAAUCCGCAUUUAUUUUGUUGGCAAGUUAGCCUUUUUUCUUUGGCCCAGUUUAAGCACAAAAUCAUCUCUGUUGUUUUCUGGAGCAGGUAUUUUUGGCUGGAGAAUUAAUCCGCAUUUAUUUUGUUGGCAAGUUAGCCUUUUUUCUUUGGCCCAGUUUAAGCACAAAAUCUUCUCUGUUGUUUUCUGGAGCAGGUAUUUUUGGCUGGAGAAUUAAUCCACAUUUAUUUUGUUGGCAAGUUAGCCUUUUUUCUUUGGCCAAGUUUAAGCACAAACUCAUCUCUGUUGUUUUCUGGAGCAGGUAAGUCCCCUAGGCCUGUGUGUUGUGGAGUCUGUGUGUGUUCAAAGUGUUUAGCUUAUGUUUGUCAUCACUAAUUUUUUUGUUUUUUAUUUUAUUUUACCGGAUUGAUCCGCAAAGUAGUGCUGUUCUUGCCUGUAAUAGCUACUAAAGGGCUCCAUUUUGUUUAGAAUGUAGUUUUACUUUUUUACAUAUUUUUGAUUAGUUAUACUUAGCUGUUUGAAAUAUU